CCCUUAGAUGUUCUGGGCCGCACGCGCGCUACACUGAUGCAUUCAACGAGCCUAUCCUUGACCGACAGGUCCGGGUAAUCUUUGAAUCUGCAUCGUGACGGGGAUAGAUUAUUGCAAUUAUUAAUCUUCAACGAGGAAUGCCUAGUAGGCGCAAGUCAUCAGCUUGCGUCGAUUACGUCCCUGCCCUUUGUACACACCGCCCGUCGCUCCUACCGAUUGGGUGUGCUGGUGAAAUCUUGGGAUCCUGUGAGACGGUCUUUAUUGUACUGUUUUGUGGGAGAACUUGAGUAAACCUUACCAUUUAGAGGAAGGUGAAGUCGUAACA
rnacentral:rRNA from 1 species